CCUACGGGGUGCAGCAGUGGGGAAUAUUGGACAAUGGGGGCAACCCUGAUCCAGCAAUUCUGUGUGCACGAAGAAGGUUUUCGGAUUGUAAAGUGCUUUCAGCAGGGAAGAAGAAAGUGACGGUACCUGCAGAAGAAGCGACGGCUAAAUACGUGCCAGCAGCCGCGGUAAUACGUAUGUCGCAAGCGUUAUCCGGAAUUAUUGGGCAUAAAGGGCAUCUAGGCGGCCCUGUAAGUCUAGGGUGAAAACCUGCGGCUCAACCGCAGGCCUGCCCCGGAAACUACAGGGCUAGAGUGCCGGAGAGGUGGACGGAACUGCACGAGUAGAGGUGAAAUUCGUAGAUAUGUGCAGGAAUGCCGAUGAUGAAGAUAGUUCACUGGACGGCAACUGACGCUGAAGUGCGAAAGCUAGGGGAGCGAACAGGAUUAGAUACCCGAGUAGUC
rnacentral:rRNA from 1 species